rnacentral:lncRNA from 1 species
GUUUGUGCUCCCCGUACGUCUUCCCCCAGGAAUGCUUCGAGGUGUAUGGCCUCUCCAAGGCUUUCCGAUUAAACUUGAAUUCUAGCUCACUCUUCUGGAACUUAGCACAAUCAGCCCCACACUCCUACAACACACAUUAGGACAUCUUUCAGUGACUGUCGUAGAUUCUCAAAAAAAGGAAAAAAUUCUGGAGCAACCACUAUGACAUCACCAUCUUUAU